UGAGGAAUAUUGGUCAAUGGACGAGAGUCUGAACCAGCCAAAUCGCGUGAAGGAAGACUGCCCUACGGGUUGUAAACUUCUUUUGUACAGGAAUAAAAGACAUUACGUGUAAUGUAUUGCAUGUACUGUACGAAUAAGCAUCGGCUAACUCCGUGCCAGCAGCCGCGGUAAUACGGAGGAUGCGAGCGUUAUCCGGAUUUAUUGGGUUUAAAGGGUGCGCAGGCGGGAUUUUAAGUCAGCGGUGAAAUUUUCAGGCUCAACCUGAACACUGCCGUUGAAACUGGGAUUCUUGAGUAUGGAUGAAGUAGGCGGAAUUCGUUGUGUAGCGGUGACAUGCUUAGAUAUAACGAGGAACUCCGAUUGCGUAGGCAGCUUACUAAGCCAUAACUGACGCUCAUGCACGAAGGCGUGGGGAUCAAACA
rnacentral:rRNA from 1 species